CCCUUAGAUGUCCGGGGCCGCACGCGCGCUACACUGAAGGAAUCAGCGUGGCUUUCUCCCUGACCCGAAAGGGUUGGGAAACCCGUUGAAUCUCCUUCGUGAUAGGGAUUGGGGCUUGAAAUUGUUCCCCAUGAACGAGGAAUUCCCAGUAAGCGCGAGUCAUAAGCUCGCGUUGAUUAAGUCCCUGCCCUUUGUACACACCGCCCGUCGCUACUACCGAUUGGAUGGUUUAGUGAGGCCCUCGGAUCGGCCCCGCCGGGGUCGGCCCACGGCCCUGGCGGAGCGCUGAGAAGACGGUCGAACUUGACUAUCUAGAGGAAGUAAAAGUCGUAACA
rnacentral:rRNA from 1 species